rnacentral:rRNA from 1 species
UACGUAGGUGGCAAGCGUUGUCCGGAUUUACUGGGCGUAAAGAGCGCGCAGGCGGUCGUUCAAGUCGCGUGUGAAAGCCCCCGGCUCAACUGGGGAGGGUCACGCGAUACUGAUCGACUCGAAGGCAGGAGAGGGAAGUGGAAUUCCCGGUGUAGUGGUGAAAUGCGUAGAUAUCGGGAGGAACACCAGUGGCGAAGGCAGCCUCCUGGGCCAGCACUGACGCUCAUGCACGAAAGCGUGGGGAGCAAACAGG